CCGAUCUGCGGGGAGAAGGUGCCUCCGAAGACCGGGUUGACGUGGUGCGGGAAGUUUUGGAAGAGCAUGGUCCCGUUGACCGGGGUGAUCCCCUGGAAGAAGCUGUCCUCUACCGCGUUCGUCGUGCCCGUGGACCAGUGAGAGAUGUGCUUAUAAGACAGAAAGACAGCAAUUUCGCCACGUCUCUUUCCCCUUCACCGGAACUCCGAGCGUUCAUCCUGCGAUGAGAAACUGAUUCUGGUUCCUGUUUUUUUCCCAAGCACCACCCUCCCCCAGCUAUUUGCAUACGUCAAUAAAUAGUGCUGCGUCCUUCAGCAAGGUUAAAAAGACGUGAUACACGACCCUCUCUUUUCCCCUUCCCCAGCUGGAGCACUUUUAAAAAAAGAAAAGAAAAAACAACAAGAAAAAGACAGCCCUCUUGAUUAGCAAACUGCCUUCUUGCUGCGGAUAAUUGUUUCAUUUGGCUGCAGCGAACCACGAGAGAGGAAAUCUUAGGCAUUUGUUGGAAGAACUCAGCUGCACAAUCAUUCUCUGGCCUCUCAGUAGCGGCAGCUACUCCAUUUUGUUAGGAGACGUUUUAAUAUAAAAGAAAACCCAGUUUUUAAAAAAGAGGAAAAUCGCCGGGCGUGGUGGCGCAUGCUUGUAAUCCUAGUACUCUGGAGGUAGAAGCAGGAGGAUCAAAAAUUCAAGGUCAGCCUUGACUACUUAGCCAGUUCGAGUCCAGCGUAGUAUAAAUGAAAAAAAUGACUCAAAAAGAAAAAGGAAAGAAAAGGAAAAAAGAAAGAAAAGAAACCUACUGAAACGUUUAGACGUGUUUGCUUCUUAUUACUCUAAGGAUUGUGGUUUUUCUGCUUAUUCUCCAAUUUUCUCGUCUCCAAUUCACCGCCCAAGAGAUUUCCUGGCUUCUUGGCGUUUCAGGUCUCAACGGGAGCCUGAGAAAUUCUCUGCAGAGUGGAGAAAUGCUUCUGGUUGGAUUUGAGGUCAGAGGGAGGGAGGUGGGGAGAGAGAAGGGAGGGAGUCUGUGAGAUGGAGUGGGGGCGGGACUUUAAAAAUGCAUCUGAGAUUUAAGUAGACAGUCAAGAUAAUUCUGGGGUUGCCAGAUUUUCAUUUUUGAAUCCUCCUGCUGCUGCCUCGGUCACAAGACUGGCAAAUUUAGAAUCCAUUCUUUUAUCACUAGUAUUAACAGUGAAAGACUAUGGUUUGACGACCCUGAAUUACCAUAUGCUAGCAACUGUUAAAAAUAGAGGAGUACAAAGUCCCAAAUUCUCAUCCAUUGUAAUUAUAGUACAUUACCCUCACUGCUUCAUUUAGCCAUAUAAGGAGUGUAUGGUAUUUUCCACUUCACAUACAAGAGCUAUAUUCACCUCUGUCAUACAACCUGUUUUCUUACUCAAGGAUGAAAACAGUAAUCACUCAAAACCAAAAGAUUUCCAUGUGUGUAGUUAUCACUGAAUUAGCUUGUCUCAGAAUAUGUUAAUUGCUUUAAAUAUCUGAAUAUUACAGGGCUGAGACCUUGAAAACAAAUAUUUUGAAAUGUUAAAGGAGCUAUGACCAAAUAUAUAAUUAUUUUUAGAUGAUUCAGUACAAUUGCAACAAAGUGAUUAAUAUAUUUAAUACAGUUAAUUAAUUCAUAUACUGGAAAAGCAUCUUUCUUGGGACAUUUGUAAAAGGGCAUUCAGAGACACACAACAGCUCUGCCAUUGGACUAUUCAAGAUAACUCUUAAAAUGGAGGUAUCUCUCUUAACUAUUACACAAAGGCUAUCAGACAAGAAGUUGGAUUAACUAUUCUGUUUUAUUAAAACUAUCACUAAGAGAUACCAUCUUUCACUUCAAAGUUUCAUAUACAAAGAGCACAGUGGGCUUAGGGAAAUAUUUCACUUCUCAAACACCUUACUUGCCUUUUUAUUCCUCUCUUCCCUGCCCAGUCCCCUCCCCUAGAAAAAAGCCCAGCCCAGGAUAAUAUAACAUGCACCAGGGGUUGCCUGCUACUGUCAAUGUAGCUUGCUUUAGAUUGCUCUUAUGUUCCUCGGUUCCCUCUAUCUAAAACAAUGGCUUUGAUUAGUAUUAUGAAUAGUGCACAGAGAGAGUGAACCUUGCAUUCAGACAGUACAAAGUUCCAUCACUACCAACGAGGAUGGUCACAGAGACAUUUUCAUACUUCCUUCUUACAAUGCUGCAGGAGACCAUUAUACUUCUGGAAUUUGAGUGUUUGGGUGAGCUAGAAUUUUCUUUACAAUAGCUAUAUCAUCAUGGCUGAAAUAUGUAUUGGAUUAUAAUUUUAGUAUUACCCAGCUUUUCUUAUUGUUUGUAUUCAACACUUUUUGUUAAUGCCUUUAGCUUAAACUGCAUGCUUUUGAUGGGAAAAAAUGCUGUACUUUACCACCCAACCAAGCCAAAAAGUAAAUUAGACUCAGAAUAUUUUAUAAUGGCUUUAAUUAAUAGUAAUACUACCUCAUUAAAUUCUCAAUGUUAUAACAAAACACUCCUUUAUUUUCUCAAUGCUCUUUAAAAAUAAUACAAAUUUCACUUAAUGUAUAAAUUCACUGUCAAGGUCAAGACCCACCUUUUAAUAAAUAAGAUAUUUUAAACAAAAGCUAAGUCAGCAAUUAAGAUAAAAUUUACAAAGUCAAUAUGCAGUAUCCUUAAAUAACUGUCUGUAUAAUUUGCUUUGGAGGGGUUUUUGCUUAUAUAUAGCAAAGUCUGAGAAAUAGAUGCCUGUUCCCCUCCCCCACCACACACAAUAGAUCGGCUUUUACAUGCAAUAACCCAAAUUCAGGUAAUAAAUUCAUAGCAGCAGUUACCUUUAAGUGUCCAGUUUUUAAGGAUCAAUAAAAUGAAAAAUGAACAGUA